rnacentral:lncRNA from 1 species
UCAACUUCAACAUGGCCGAAGCAAGUAGCGCCAAUCUAGGCAGCGGCUGUGAGGAAAAAAGGCAUGAGGGGUCGUCUUCGGAAUCUGUGCCACCCGGCACUACCAUUUCGAGGGUGAAGCUCCUCGACACCAUGGUGGACACUUUUCUUCAGAAGCUGGUCGCCGCCGGCAGUUUUUUCAGACGGAGUUUCACUCUUGUUGCCCAGACUGGAGUGCAGUGGCGUGAUCUCGGCUCAUGGCAACCUCCACCUCCUGGGUUCAAGCAAUUCUCCUCAGCCUCCUGAGUAGCCGGGAUUAUAGGUGCCGCCACCACGCCCAGCUAAUUUUUGUAUUUUUAGUAGAGAUGGGGUUUCACCAUGUUAGCCAGGCUGAUCUCGAACUCCUAAUGUCAGUCCCUUUUCUAGCUCCUCCGGUCAUGAUACAUCCACACUCCAGACUCUGUGUCUGGCCCUGCAUGGAAGCCAACAUGGCCAGAUGGCCUGGAUUGAGUCCCAGCUGGCUCCAUCACAUGCUGGUUGUGUGACCUUGGGCAAGCUUCUCUCUGCCUCAGCUUCCUCAUCUGAAAAAUGGGGGUGAU